rnacentral:lncRNA from 1 species
AGCAACCAAGUCUUCAACAUUAUGAGCCUUUUAGGAACAUUUCAUAACCAAACCAUAAUAGCUUCAUUCAACCCAACCCUUCUUAAGCCCCCUGCAUCAGGCCAUUUCUCCCAGUUGGGAAGAGCAAGUGACUCUGGGCUUCCCACGGAGCUUCAGAUCUGCUUACAGCAAGUCUCUGGUUCUCAGAGAGGAAAUCUGUUACAUUAGCUGGC